GUGCUUGCCUUGGCAGCACAAAUACAAAAUUGGAAUAUACAGAGAUUAGCAUGGCCCCUGCUCAAGGAUGACAUGCAAAUUCAUGAAGCAUCCCAUAUUUUG